CGGGGAGGACCGCCGGGGAGGACCGCCGGGGAGGAUCGCGGGAAGCCGACUCCGCCUGCGUGCUCCCGGCGCGUUGCUGCUGCUCACGCUCCUGUGCUCCUCACAAGGCCCUCAUGAAGGAGGAUGGCCGAGAAGGCACUGAUGUCACCAGAUGGCAGUGUCCACCCUGCAGACAAGCCUACAUGAUCCUGACACUGGGAAUCAGCGAUCACUCCCCUAAAUUUGUUAGGAUGCUCCGGGCUACAGACAUUCUGAGCUUGGGGAUUAUUUAAAUCACCUAAGAUGAGCUGUUUGGGGAGUGACAGAGAGAGAGAAUCUCAAGC